CUUGCAUGGCAAAGCCUUCAUAAUUUGUGCAGCAAGACUACUAAUUUACACAAAUGAAAGUAAGAUCACUACAGAUUACUGAAUUUUAACAAUUAGCAGGUAUGAAAACAAACAACAUUCUAGGAAAAGAAAAAAACCAUCAUCAUGUAGGUUGCUUUCAAGACUAUAUUUUCUUUGUAAAUAUUUGUGAUUGCUCAAAUAAGAAAUGCUCCUGGCUAUGUUUCAUAAAAUUAAUUAGGUGUUAGCAGAAUGUAAAAUAGACCAUUGCCCUGCUCGGUCUUCUUUUCAGAAAUGAAAGGGCACAAUUUUUGUGCUGUGUAUGAAGUGUAUGGUCUAUUGAUUUCUGCAGUGUCUGCAUUAGAUGUCUUACAUGUAAUUUACUGAAACCUUUUCUGCUCAGUAGCAGAGAUAGCAUGCAAAAGAAAAUGUGUUCAUUGCUGCUUUAUUGCAUUAAGUAGGAAUUGGGCAAAAUAUGUAAUUUUCUUAUUUUACUGACAAUAAAAAUCUGAAAAUCAAAGUAAGAAGAAGAUAGGAUUUGUACAGUUGAAAAAUUCCAAAUAAAUUUAUAAGUACAAGCGAUUAUUUUAACAGCACUUUCACAGUUAAAAUUGAGUGUGAACAUUGCACUCACAUGACAAAUUCCACCUGUGACACCAACAGCAACCUUUACUAGUCUUGUGAUUCACAGGCUGCAGUCACAGACUGUGAGAUGAUGUCACUGAUGUCCUAGGUUAUGGCAGUAGGUUGGGAUAGAGGGGCUAUCACAGGUGGACUGCUUACUGAGUUUAGCAGAUUCCACAGCACUUUGCCAUCAAAAGGACUUAAACCCCAAAUGUGCUUUACAGUACAAGAAAGAGAAGAAGAAGUAAGCAAAGGAGGCCACACAGAAGAAUUUGUAGCUUUCAUUGAUACAGACUAUGGAAGACAAUUUCAGAAGAGCUCUAGUAUGUAUGCUCAUUAUCUCAAUUUUCGGGUAAGUGGAGCAAACAACUUCACCCUAGCAGAUUAGUAGCAAAAUAGUACACAUCCCUCUAUGCUAAAUGAAUGAAAAAAAGCAGGGUUGAGUCAGAAUGGGGGCAGAGGGAGAGAGACAGGAGGAUUUUUUUAAAAGAGUUUUCUGAAUAAUCAGGAAAUCCAGUGAGACAAACAGAAUGUGUAGAGAACAAGCCAGAAUUAUCAAAUUACCAUGACAACCAUAGGCAAGAACCCAGAGAGAAUCAGGUAAAGAUAUUACAGUAGAAUUACAAUUAACUUCACUUUUUUUUUUUUUAAUAAUACUCCCAAGCAAUCAAGGAAGAAAUAUUUCCUUUGGCCUAGCUCAUUGUGGUGCAAAGGCUUGUGAAAUACAGCCUUGUUUGUAAUUUUGAAAUUGCUUUGUAAAUUUAUACAAGUAACUUUUAUCUUUAUUUUAAUAUGCUGAUUGUUUUAACCAUCAGAAUCUAAUGUCAGAUACAAAACUCAGAAUCACAUAUGCUUUAAUUUGCUUGAAAAUAUAAGCUAAAAGAAAAUUCAGAAAAGGUAGAGAGGGUGUGUGGAUAUGUGUGUGCACACACACUUAUGGUGUGUAUUUCUCUGUUACUCCUUAAAAAUUCCUCAUGUAUGUUUUUCAAAUGACUACCUUCUUCAUUCAAGUCUUAGAUUAACACCCAACCAAAAAGCUUUAAAUCUGAAUACAGCAAAAAAAUAAGUAAAACCAAAGUGGAGUGAAAGUCAAAUAAGUAAGAGUGGUGGUGUUUAUUUAAAAAUGCUACAGGUUAGCCAGCAGGUAGUUAACCAGAUUGUCUGUUGAAUAUGGCUUGACAUUCUAUUUUAAUGUUUCAUUUCAUGUAACACUGUUCACAUAUAUUGGAAAGAUAGAAGUAUAGAGUUCUGAAAGGUAGAGAUCCAUGUUUAGAGACAGAAGGGAGGAUUUGUUCACAGGGUGGGUGGUUGACUUUUUUCCCCGGGUUUGAACAAAGCUCUCAGACUGUUAACACUCGAGUACUCGAGUAUACAAACAAAAUUCCCCCAGUGCUUUGUCUUUCCUAGUGUUUUGUGCCACUAUCUAAAUGCAUAUUGCAUUUUACGUGUGCCUGUAAACACAGAUGCAUGCCCAUACUGAUCUUUUGAAAUGCUGCCCUGAAGUUUGCUGCAUGGUCAGGGAGAGCAGUGAUGCACUCCAUUGUUCCCUGCUAUGAUGUCAUGCUCAGACUUCGCCUUGGUUAAACAGAAUUCAGUUUACUGCUCUGCAGCAAAAUGUCUUUAGGGAAGACAGAUCUAUUGCUGUGGCAGAGAUGGAAAGAAACAAUGUGAAAAACAACAAAAAAAGACAACAUAGGGAAAUUAAUAUAAAUUCUGACUAAAAUAUUUGCUGCCAUAUUUUUCUCUACAUCUUUACAGAAGUAGAUAUGCACACUCAUCUAUACACACAUUCAAACUGUGCAUAGCUCAAAGGUGUGUUUAUUUUAAUCUUGGGAACUAGGACAAGCUGAAAUUCAUUCUCAGGACUUGCAUCAUCAGUAAGGUUGCUCUUAAACAUGCAGUCUUAUAUCACAUUGUUCAUUCUUUUUAUUUACACUAACCACACAUGGAGUGCACAUAAUGGGUCUAAUCCUGCUCACUGAUGUUAAUGAGAGCUACAGACAUCAAGCAUGCUACAACAUCCAGUGGUAAAUUAAUUCUUUUCCACAGCAUCUGAAAACUCUAUGUAGGGAUAGUGAGGGGAAGAAAGAGGAUGGCCUUUUAAUUAUACUGGGAGAUCCUGAGCUAGAAGAGAAAUCUAAAGGGACUGAGUGGGGAGAAGGAGGUUGUUCCUUCUCCUUCCUCCCAUCCUCCCGGCCUUAAAAAAAAAAAAAAAAAAAAAAAAAAAAAAAGAACACAACCUGGGGGCCAGUCCUUCCUGAAUAGGGACAGUUGGCAGGUAUGUGUUAAUGUUGUUCCCAGCACUUCGGAGGAGCCAGGCACGGAGACUCACCCUGUCCUUUCAAAUCAGUGCUUCCUGUCCUUCAAGAGUUAACCUUCUCUAGAACAUUUAUUUCACGAUCUCAGAGAGGAAAAAAAAAAAAAAAAAACAAAACAAAAAACCAAACCCACACACACGAAAAAAACCAACCCAACAAAAAAACCCCCAAAAUCCAAAAAACCCCCAAACCCAAACCUGCAGAGCUGAGAGGCUGCAGAUCACAAGGCCAUUCUGAUAGCCUCCUGUCCCCAUGGCAACAGCAACGGCAUUUAUCAGUUCCUUAUGAGAGCAGGCACAGCAAAUCUGCAUUGCACAUGGCAGCCUUCCAGCCUUUCAAAUGAAAGAGCACUUUGAACUGCUGCCAAGUGUGGAAGGAGCAGAGCUGUCAGGACUGCUUAAUGCUGGCAGUUUGUACUUGGGAGCCUUUCAGUUCCCAGAAUCCUUCAGCAUGGCAGCCUGCCAGGAUGUAAGAUGAAAACAGUCCAGGAAAAAGUAAAAAUAACAACAGCGGAGGCCCCAGCGCUGCGUAUCCCAGCCCAAAACACACUGCCCAGUCGCGAGUCCCUUGCAGAGUGAGCAGAAUUAAUUAUAGGUGUCUUAUUUUGCACUGUAAGAUUUGGCAAAGGUUAAUGUGUGGAAAUCUAGGCUCCCAGGCAGGUUUUCAAGCCUUAAAGACAGCUGUAGGAAAAUCCGUGUGGGGUGGGUCUCAAAGAGGGCCUCCCUCAGUGCUAGCCGGGGCAGAAGCGGGAGCCUGU